AAUAUAAAAUAUUAAUUUUAUAAUUAUUAUAAAAUUUUAAUAAUUUAUUUGAUUUAGACUACACAGGUCAAAAUAAAUAAUUUAAUUAAUAAAUUUAAGGUUUAAGAUUUACAGUAGUAAUCAUAUCUCCCUUUCGUCAUUUUCUCUUUUUUCUUUUUCCAGCUGUUUCUACCUUAUCCGCGAAAAAAGAGGGAGGAAAUAUUGGAAGAAGAAAAGCGGUGGGUGAUGAAUAAGCAAAAAGAAAAGGAGAUAGAGCAUCGGUGGACGGCGGGCAUCGAGUCCCCACGUACGGCUCGCCUCCUCGACUAUGCUGUGUGCAUGCAUCCACACCUCAAUCGUAACUGCUAUUUCACAACGGAUCCAUGCCAAAUUCCCUGACCAUAUGCCACGUUCCCCACCCAAACUCGUGAUCCUAAAAAGGACACCAAAAUCCAAAAAGCCCGAAUCUAUUGACC
rnacentral:lncRNA from 1 species